rnacentral:rRNA from 1 species
UGGGGAAUAUUGGGCAAUGGGCGAAAGCCUGACCCAGCAACGCCGCGUGAAGGAAGAAGGUCUUCGGAUUGUAAACUUCUUUUAUGAGGGACGAAGGACGUGACGGUACCUCAUGAAUAAGCCACGGCUAACUACGUGCCAGCAGCCGCGGUAAUACGUAGGUGGCAAGCGUUAUCCGGAUUUACUGGGUGUAAAGGGCGCGUAGGCGGGGAUGCAAGUCAGAUGUGAAAUCUAUGGGCUUAACCCAUAAACUGCAUUUGAAACUGUAUCUCUUGAGUGCUGGAGAGGUAGACGGAAUUCCCAGUGUAGCGGUGAAAUGCGUAGAUAUUGGGAGGAACACCAGUGGCGAAGGCGGCUUACUGGACGAUGACUGACGUUGAGGCUCGAAGGCGUGGGGAGCAAACAGGAUUAGAUACCCUGGUAGU